rnacentral:rRNA from 1 species
UACGUAGGGUGCAAGCGUUAAUCGGAAUUACUGGGCGUAAAGCGUGCGCAGGCGGCUUUGCAAGACAGAUGUGAAAUCCUCGGGCUCAACCUGGGAACUGCAUUUGUGACUGCAUGGCUAGAGUACGGUAGAGGGGGAUGGAAUUCCGCGUGUAGCAGUGAAAUGCGUAGAUAUGCGGAGGAACACCGAUGGCGAAGGCAACCCCCUGGGCCGACACUGACGCUGAGGCACGAAAGCGUGGGGAGCAAACAGG